AAAUACAGAGUAGGUCCUACUUGGGUCUGCCUUGUGCUAUUUAAGCGAGUAUGGAAUGACUGAGUCUGGAUGCACAUAUUUAAAAUAUUCCUUCCAUUUCCCCCUCCUUCUGUGAAAGUUAUCUGUAUGCAUUUGGACCCAAGGCCUAUUAAAGUUUUCUUGGAGGCAGCAAGACAUGGAACAUUCAAGAACGAAGUUGUAGGAGUCGGAUAAAAAUGAGGAGCUCUCCCACCCUUGUGGAGUAAAGGCUCGCCACGCUUGCUGUCUGCCAGCAAACCUUCUGGGAAAGAGCCAGCAUUGCCAUCAUGUUCAAAGGCCUCGCCAGCUUCCUAGGAAAACGUAUGUGAUGAUAUCAGGGGGUUGGGCAAAAUCCCCGGCAGGUGCCCCUCCCCUGCCCCUACUUACCUCUUGCCAUUCCUCUGCCCUCCACGUGUAGCGAGGACAUGGUGGGGCUUGGCACACGCGGUGAGACUCGGGUCUGGGGUACGGGUUGCACUCGGUCUCUCUGGCUGUUGUGUGUGUUCCGACCUGACAGCCCACACUCCUUUGCUGUGUGCCUCGGCCGCAGGACGCAGAGCACUGCGGAGACAGAGCGCAAAAGCAUUUAGCAAGCCAAUUGGAGCUAAAACACUACUGCAUAGGAAACUACUGUAGAGUUUUAAGUUGAAGAAAGAAAUGGUCUGAUUUAUGUUUCAAAAAUUCUACUCUGAGUACUGAAUGAAGAAUGGAUGGGAGUACAGAGGUGCCCCCGCGUCGGUCCUUUCACUUUCACUGAGGGACAUGGUCGCUCGGUCACUGAGGACCCAGCAUACAACCCCAGUGUGUCUGCCUGGAUAAGAAGGGCUGAAGACCUAAGAAUGAGAUCCCCCAGGUUGCCGAGGCUAUUGAGGACCUGGACAUCAGAAUGAAGAUGCAGUACUGGACAGAGCUGUGAUGAAUGAAGUGAAUAUUAAAUGAAUGUCACACCAUCGGGAAAGGCAAAGGGAUACCGGCUGUACCUACUGUUAUGAACACACACAAAAGCCUGGCUGUCUCCCCCUCCGCACUAGAAUGUAAGCUUGAUGAGCUCAGGGGAUUUUGUCUAUUUUGGUCACUGCAAUAUCCCCAGCACCAGUGCCUGGUUUAUGAAAAACACUCAAAUACUUGUGGAACACGUAAAUGAACGCAUGAACGAAUGAUCGAAUGGUACCUAAUGGAACCACAGCUGCUUAUUCUACAAGAAUAUAUAAGGAUUAAGUGAACAUUCUGCUCAAUGCUCAGUCCAUUGUAAGGACCAAAUAAAUAACUACUGCUCUCUCCUAUCUCCUGUGUCUAUCAGGUCCAUAUCUGGCAGAGUAUUCUUGUGGUUUAAUGGUUAAUUCAUAGCCACAGAACUAAAUACUGCACAGGGGACAUCUAAGAGGAAGGUUAUCUGAGAAUGUGAUAUAAAAGACAAACGGAUGACAAGUGUCAGUUGCCAGGAAGUGAGAACACUACCCUGCUCUGCGAGCACCAGACUAACACUGGAAGUUCAGCUCUAAGCUGCCGCUGCUACCACCUACUCUGUGUGUCACAUAAUUUGUUUCUCAGUCUCCAAAGAUGCUGCCUUAAAUUGACACUUAAGCCAGAUGGAAAAAUGUAGAUAUAGAGAAUGAAAACAACACUAAGAAAUAGCCUCUAAUUAGGCCAGAUAUUCUCUCUCUCCUUUCAGGCCGGAAACAUCUAAAGGCAACAAGCUGAUGACGCCUAUUUCUGUCUACAGGAUAAAAACCAGAUGCACAGCUCAUGAUUUUGUAAUUGUAGAGUGAAUAAGAUAGAAUUAAACCAAUGCCAUUCUGACACACUCUUACCAUCUAACAGCCACAAGCUUCUCUAUUAAGUGGAGUAGUUGUUAUCCAAAUAUUAGGAUCAGGCCACGUCUUAAAGAACAAGUUUUCUUAGUUCAACAGAUCCUUUCUUUAUAGAUGUACUAAUUCAUUCACAUAAUUCUAUAGUGCUGCAAAUCUCCAGGAGAAAUCUAGCCCCUUACAGAGUUCUGGUCUGAGAAUGCUGGGUGGCCAAGCCCAAUUUUUGAAUUCCUUUGAAGGCAUUCAAAACCAAAUGAAGUGUAUAACAGGCCUAUUCUAAAGUGCAAAUAUUCAGCUACCUCCAACUUGUGAUAAGUAAAAUAAAUGAAACCAGGAACCUAGCUGAAAACCCUUAGGAAUCAUCCAGAUCCCAAGAGCUUAGCUUCAGAGAUUUUAAAACCAGAGGAUGUAAGACAAUCAAUUAGUCAUUGAUCAGUGACUGUGAGGUGGAGAAACUCAUUCAUUCAGAGAGACAAGUUUUUUUAUUUAUUUAUUUUAUGGUGGCUGUGACUUCUUAUUCUUAGGGAAGAUUUGCAUGUGUUCAAUUCAUAAACUAGAGUCAUGGGUAAGAGUCUAAUUAGGGAAAAGACAAAAUCCAAUUUCUAAUUUUAAAAGACUUUUGACCUAGUAAUCCACUGGUAAUUUAAGGUUCCAAUUAAUUUUGGAGGGUGACACUCACUUGCCUUAUUUAAAACCACAAUCUCUUACACACUGGGCACCAGGGUGUACAUCUUCUUUCUAUAAAAAACUUCUGUGGCCUUCUAUCAAAUAAAGUUUAAACAGUGUGAGAAAAUCCAAUAUUUCAUUAGAGCUGAGAUCCUGCCGUCAAACUUCUGAGGAUGAUGACAGUGUCUUGGAUUCAUUUUGCUUGCCUUUCCUCUUCUGAUAGAUUUCUUCUCCAAAAGCUAGAGACUCACUGCUAGUGUUUACGGUCAUUGUUAGUGGCCUUUUUAAAGGAGAAGAAUUGAGAUUGAUUUUCCUUCUAGGGUCAAGAGAUGCAUCAUCUAAAAUGUUUUCUGACCCCAUGGUCUCAGAGGUACACUCGCCAUUCUGAGUGUAUGUCCAUGUGUGUCUGUGUGGUAAGGGGGCUGAGGUUGGUAAAUAUUCAGCAUUUGCCGCAUUUGCCAUCUGCUGGAGCAGGAAUGGCUUGCAAAUUGUAAAGGGGAGGUAUGCAGAGGAACAACUUUGGAAAUUUUAUUCCCCUGACGUUCAUGUUCUGAAAAGCCAAGAUAAUGCCACACAUCUGGAAAAGCUCAUCGCCUACGUAUAGCUUUCUCUGAAGGGUUAAUAGAACAAACAGUUGGUAAAUGAGUGACUGUGAAAGCUUGGUGCUCUCCACAACAUAAAGCCAGAUUAUUUAUCUUCUCUGAGAGGAGGAAGGGAAAGAACCUUUUAACCUUUAUAAUAUACUUUGUAAUUUUAUAGACAUCUCUUACUUGAAAAGGGGGGAUUUGGUAACUACUGAAGAAAAUACCCACCUACUGCCCAUGAGAAUAUGAAAGAGAAGUUUUGUUGUCAGGAAAUACAUAUAACUACCAGCGGUGACUUUGCCCUCCAGAGGACACCUGGCAAAGUCUGGAGACAUUUCUGGUUGUCACAACCAGGGUGGAGGUGCUGCCGGCUUCUAGUGGGUACAGGUCAGGGAUGCUGCUAAACAUCCCACAAUGCACAGGACAGACCCCCACAACAGAGGACUAUCCAGCCCCAGAUGGUAAGGUUGAGAAACCCUGCUUUACACAUAUUCUAGUCCAUGGAACAACUUGUAUUCUGCUGUCUUAGUCCCUAAUCAGAAACAUGGUCUUCUGCUUCCCAGAUAAAAUGCCCACUAGGAUGAAUUUUACCUUUAUAAAAGUACCCAAAGGAGAAACCUAAAUAGUCAAGUCUGACACUCAAGUCUGACCAAUUCGUAGAUAUUACUUGGCCUUUAUAUAUGUGUAAAUUCUAUCAUUUACUAGGAAAGCUUUGUUUGACUAAAACUUAAAAUUAAAAGGAACAUAUAUAUGAACUCACAGUGCCAU